GGGGAAUAUUGCACAAUGGGGGAAACCCUGAUGCAGCGACGCCGCGUGGAGGAAGAAGGUCUUCGGAUUGUAAACUCCUGUUGUUGGGGAAGAUAAUGACGGUACCCAACAAGGAAGUGACGGCUAACUACGUGCCAGCAGCCGCGGUAAAACGUAGGUCACAAGCGUUGUCCGGAAUUACUGGGUGUAAAGGGAGCGCAGGCGGGAAGACAAGUUGGAAGUGAAAUCUAUGGGCUCAACCCAUAAACUGCUUUCAAAACUGUUUUUCUUGAGUAGUGCAGAGGUAGGCGGAAUUCCCGGUGUAGCGGUGGAAUGCGUAGAUAUCGGGAGGAACACCAGUGGCGAAGGCGGCCUACUGGGCACCAACUGACGCUGAGGCUCGAAAGUGUGGGUAGCAAACAGGAUUAGAUACCCUGGUAGUCCACACCGUAAACGAUGAUUACUAGGUGUUGGAGGAUUGACCCCUUCAGUGCCGCAGUUAACACAAUAAGUAAUCCACCUGGGGAGUACGACCGCAAGGUUGAAACUCAAAGGAAUUGACGGGGGCCCGCACAAGCAGUGGAGUAUGUGGUUUAAUUCGACGCAACGCGAAGAACCUUACCAAGUCUUGACAUCCCUUGACAGGCAUAGAAAUAUGUAUUCUCUUCGGAGCAAGGAGACAGGUAGUGCAUGGUUGUCGUCAGCUCGUGUCGUGAGAUGUUGGGUUAAGUCCCGCAACGAGCGCAACCCUUAUGGUCAGUUACUACGCAAGAGGACUCUGGCCAGACUGCCGUUGACAAAACGGAGGAAGGUGGGGAUGACGUCAAAUCAUCAUGCCCUUUAUGACUUGGGCUACACACGUACUACAAUGGCGUUAAACAAAGAGAAGCAAGACCGCGAGGUGGAGCAAAACUCAGAAACAACGUCCCAGUUCGGACUGCAGGCUGCAACUCGCCUGCACGAAGCUGGAAUCGCUAGUAAUCGCGGAUCAGAAUGCCGCGGUGAAUACGUUCCCG
rnacentral:rRNA from 1 species